UGAACGCAAAUGGCGCUCUUGGGUUCUCCCAGGAGCAUGUCUGUCUGAGUGUCGGUU
rnacentral:rRNA from 1 species